UAUCUUUUUCAGCAAAAAUUAGUUAACUUGUCACAGUAGGGGUGAAUAUAAUAAAUAAUGGCUAAAUUGCCUGUAGCUGUUUUGCUCACAGUGACUCUUUAUUUAAUUCUAUUUUAUGUUAAAUAAUAAUAGUAAAUAAGAAAAAAAGAGCAGUAGCAAAUUCAUUAUGUUUUAAUGUAUUUUUAAAAAAAGUAAAGUAUCUCACAAAGUACGUUUAAAUGUUUUAAGAAGGUUUAAUGAUAAAAUUAAUGACCAUAUUACCUGUAGCUGCUUUGCUUUAUUCCUAGUGACGUUGUCUUACAUUACUGAUCAAGUUAUGACAUCUAGAUCAAGUUAAGGGCACAUUUUGUUCCAUUUUUCAGUUCGUUUUUACAUUAUUGGGUGUUACAACUGUAAUAAAUAACUUCAACUCCCCCGGUCGACCAGCAGAUAGCGCUACUGGCGCACUGAUGGCCUGAAGAGCAACUGUACCUAACAGUAAAAGAAGGACACCGCUUUGAAAAGGGGAAAGCCAUUUUCUUACUGACCUUUGUGUCUAGUUUUAAAAAGCCAGUUUACGUUUCUUCAUGUUCGGUAUGGCUAGUCGACAGCGGUCAGUUAUCGUAACCUGGUAUUGUUUGUUAAAAAACGCCUCCUUUAGCGUCAAGAAUGAGGAUAGACGUUACGUUGUCGGUUCUGCCGUUCAGUUGCACUAAAAUAAUUUUAAACCUGAUCACAAACAGAUCAAAGUCUGUUUCCGGUGCUGCAUUUAGUAGAAAAUGGACGAGGACGAAGCCUUGAGAAACUACUGCAGGGAAAUGAUUUGUCGUGUCCGAAGCAAGCAGCUGCCUCUUCAGCCCUGUAAGUUGAACCGGAGGAGACAAACCCACCGAGCAGCCGGAGGGAGUGACGGGACCCAGAGACGAGUUCCAGCCGAGAUCAGAGAUCCCCCAGAGGCGAACCUGAGUCUGAGUCACGGAGAACACAUCUACCGCCAUCAGUGUCAAGGUCCCGUCCCCCCUCAGCUCAUUGCCAUUCUGAGGCUCAAAACUUUCACGGAGCAGAUGAGGCGGGUCAGGAAACAUCCUUUGACCAUGUGACUGAUAUUAAGAUUGAAAAAAAGCCCCUCAGCGUCUCCUUUAUGUGUUUGUGUUCGGUGACAGGCUGCAGAGGUGGAGCUCCAUGAUCCGGCUGUUUGCAGUGUCUGCCAGCAGCAACAGGCUUCUCUGGCCUUGAAAACUUUUAUCAGGAGAAAGAAGACACAACUGCAGUUCCAAACACUGAAGGGCAGACUAAACAUGCCUGAGAUUGGACACUUUGGAGGGAGUUGGUGCAAAAUCUCCCAAAGCCCUCCAAUGCCCCUCACUGGAUUUGGGAGGAACUACUUAGUGAAGAUAUGCAGGUCACAGCAACCUGAGGUUGCCUUAGCAACCACUAAGGAACGUGGAGUUGCCCUGGCAACAGAUGAAAUGAGGGGUUACCCUGACAAAAAAGCUACAGGAACUCAUUUAGCAAGACCUCGCUGUCCUUUUUCAGACAGAUAGCUGCAGACAUGAUGGGCACAGCAUUAAUACAGUGAAAGGGACAAUGAUGUGGUGGAGUCAAACAUAUUCUACCUCUUUAUUUUCAAACACAGGCUAAACCCACCCAUUUGCCCUGCUUGGCUACAGCUGUGUUUACGUUCACACCACUAAAUAACAGAAACAAAUAUCUAGCCUUUGUUUUUGGUAUAAAAAGAAUGUGCUAACAAGGUUAGUACAAAACAGCAAUUUAUUUUCUUAUCACCGUAUUAAAGUUAAACACUCAACACUA